rnacentral:rRNA from 1 species
AUGAAUCAAAGAAGGUAAUAAUCCUGUAGUCGAAAAUGUUGUCUCUCUUGAGUGGAUCCUGAGUACGACGGAGCACGUGAAAUUCUGUCGGAAUCUGGGAGGACCAUCUCCUAAGGCUAAAUACUCUCUAGUGACCGAUAGUGAACCAGUACCGUGAGGGAAAGGUGAAAAGCACCCCGGAAGGGGAGUGAAAUAGAACCUGAAACCGUGUGCUUACAAGUAGUCAGAGCCCGUUAAUGGGUGAUGGCGUGCCUUUUGUAGAAUGAACCGGCGAGUUACGAUUUGAUGCAAGGUUAAGCAGUAAAUGUGGAGCCGUAGCGAAAGCGAGUCUGAAUAGGGCGUUUAGUAUUUGGUCGUAGACCCGAAACCAGGUGAUCUACCCUUGGUCAGGUUGAAGUUCAGGUAACACUGAAUGGAGGACCGAACCGACUUACGUUGAAAAGUGAGCGGAUGAACUGAGGGUAGCGGAGAAAUUCCAAUCGAACCUGGAGAUAGCUGGUUCUCUCCGAAAUAGCUUUAGGGCUAGCCUCAAGUGAUGAUUAUUGGAGGUAGAGCACUGUUUGGACGAGGGGCCCCUCUCGGGUUACCGAAUUCAGACAAACUCCGAAUGCCAAUUAAUUUAACUUGGGAGUCAGAACAUGGGUGAUAAGGUCCGUGUUCGAAAGGGAAACAGCCCAGACCACCAGCUAAGGUCCCAAAAUAUAUGUUAAGUGGAAAAGGAUGUGGCGUUGCCCAGACAACUAGGAUGUUGGCUUAGAAGCAGCCAUCAUUUAAAGAGUGCGUAAUAGCUCACUAGUCGAGUGACACUGCGCCGAAAAUGUACCGGGGCUAAACAUAUUACCGAAGCUGUGGAUUGUCCUUUGGACAAUGGUAGGAGAGCGUUCUAAGGGCGUUGAAGCAUGAUCGUAAGGACAUGUGGAGCGCUUAGAAGUGAGAAUGCCGGUGUGAGUAGCGAAAGACGGGUGAGAAUCCCGUCCACCGAUUGACUAAGGUUUCCAGAGGAAGGCUCGUCCGCUCUGGGUUAGUCGGGUCCUAAGCUGAGGCCGACAGGCGUAGGCGAUGGAUAACAGGUUGAUAUUCCUGUACCACCUAUAAUCGUUUUA